CCUACGGGAGGCAGCAGUGAGGAAUAUUGGUCAAUGGCCGGAAGGCUGAACCAGCCAAGUCGCGUGAGGGAAGACGGCCCUACGGGUUGUAAACCUCUUUUGUCGGGGAGCAACACCAACCACGUGUGGAUCUUUGCAAGUACCCUAAGAAUAAGCAUCGGCUAACUCCGUGCCAGCAGCCGCGGUAAUACGGAGGAUGCGAGCGUUAUCCGGAUUUAUUGGGUUUAAAGGGUGCGCAGGCGGGGGUGCAAGUCAGCGGUAAAAUUGCGGGGCUCAACCCCGUACUGCCGUUGAAACUGGAUGCCUUGAGUGCGCGAGAGGUAUGCGGAAUGCGUGGUGUAGCGGUGAAAUGCAUAGAUAUCACGAAGAACCCCGAUUGCGAAGGCAGCAUACCGGCGCGCGACUGACGCUGAUGCACGAAAGCGUGGGUAUCGAACAGGAUUAGAUACCCCAGUAGUC
rnacentral:rRNA from 1 species